GCGCCCGUAGCUCAGUGGACAGAGCAGCGGUCUUCGAAACCAUUGGUCGGGGGUUCAAAUCCCUCCGGGCGCGCCA
rnacentral:tRNA from 2 species